ensembl:lncRNA novel transcript
AAAGAGUAAAGAAGAAAGAGAAACAGGAUGUGAGAAAUCGAGACUGAGAGACAGAGAAACUGCGGGAGAGAAAGAGAGAGCGUGAGAUAAUGAAGCAGAGAAAGACAAGGACAUUGUCCCCUCGUCCUGCCAUGGCCCAUAUCCCAGGAGGACCUGUCACCAUCCUCCACCUUGGUGAGACAUUGCCCAAGUUAAUGGGCCCAACAAUAGGGUCAGACUACAUUGCUGCUCCAUUUCCAAGAAAUUCUCCACGUGCAACAUCACAUUUCCUGUAACUCCAGUGCCUCAGGUCUCGACUCAAAGGUCACCUCUUCAGAGAGGCCCCUCCUAAUGAACUUCCUAAGCCCAGGCUAUCCUAUGGAUGCACUCCUCCCACCAUCUGCUCUCCCAAGCUCUGCUGAAACCCCCCUGCCUAGAACAAUUUGCUUCGUAGCUGACUUUCCAUAAACAUUCAUACAAUGGAUACAGAAAUGACACAGAGGUCAGCAUCAGAACCCAGGAUCCCCCAAAGCCCUGUUUCUCUCUUUCACAGCCUCUCUCUACCUUAUUCCUAUCACCAAGGGAUUCUUCUCUCUUUCCCUCUUUCUACUAUUUGUUAGAAUGGAAAGCACUGGGCCGGUAAAGCUGUCACUCAGGAUAUGAUUUUUUCUCUGCCACUUUCUGGCUGUGUGCUUUUCUUAAAUCAUGGAACUGCAACUGAAAACGCAUGGAUGACAACACAAGGAUUAUUUUAAAGAUUAAAUGAAAUAACUAGGAUGACUGGGCCUGGCAUAUAUUAAGCAUCAAUUAACAUUAAUUGCUUUGCAUCCUUCUCUUUGUUUCUCUCCUCUCCCAUUGUUCCUUCCUUAUAAAUUAAUUCCCUGCCUUUCUCACAAUCUUUACUCCCUACUCAUAAAGCUUCUGCCAGGGUUGUCAGCAGGAUUUAUGUACUUGAAUUGAACUGAGUUAGGUAGGCAUGAAUGAAAGGCAAGUUAUCUCUUUCUAGGGGGAGAAAAAUUUAAGGCAGAGUGAUGUGAGAAGUGUCGACAAGACCCAGGAAAGCCCAGGGAGAGGGGCUGGGGCUAAGGCGUCUGCCCGCUUGGCAGCAGCUGUGAUGUUCGGAGUACGUGUUCAGACCAGCAGUCCCUGAGAUGCUAUUCCACUUAUUCUGGAGACCACUCUGCUCUUAGCCCCGCUGGGCAGGUAGAUUUGGAAAUGUUUAUUGCAUGAGAUGUGGGAUGGAAGAAAGAAACCUGAAUUGGGAAUGAAGAGGCUUGUUCCACCUUCCCUCAAUCCUGCCAGUAGCCAGCUACAGAGCUUAGGAAAAGUCUGUUUACCUCCCUGGACCUCAGCCUACCCUCUGACAAUUAAAGGGAGAUCACAGUUUUGAAGGCAUCUACCAGCUCUGACGCGCUCUGGCUAAACCAGACCAAAAAUUUUUUUUACAGCCAUUUUUGAAAAGGGAGUGAGAGAAGAGAACUGCAGAAGCUUAAAGAAGCACCAUUUGCAAAGUUUUUUUUUGUUCUGUUUCCAACAAUCUUACUUAUUCGCAGCACAGAUUCUGUUAGGCUUAGACUUGUGUUUCGGUGGCACUGGAUUGAUAGACUCAUACUAAUUGGUGUGGGUGUCUCAAUUUUCUCCGUCCAACUUUGCUGGGGUCUCGCCUUCUCUCUAUGGAAGCUCUUCUCAGGCUCACAAGAGCUGAGAUUUCUCAGAGGCGCCUGUAGAUGGAUUUGCCUUUUUUCUGCUAUAUCCAUCUGAAGCCACAGCAACUCUCUCUGAGCCAAAACCACUCACUAAUUAAUACAUUUCACAGGGUGAAUGAAGCACUGGCACGACCAGCAGCUUGGGGCAGCUCCCAAAGCCAUGGCCUUGCCCAGUGCCCAGAAAGUCCUGCCUGGAGACGGCCAGUGCCAGUUUCCUCCAUGCCAGCACCUCACCCUUCUCAUUUGAACCCAGAAAUGUGUUGACUUCCAGUGCCCCCUACCACCCUAGCUGUGUCAUUUUCUCCUUCACCUGUUUGCAUUUCCAAGGAAGCACAAGUCACAGUCAUAGGGGCUCGUGAUCUAUUUUUUAUUCUCCCCUUUUCUGGGCAGAAUGAUGGAUCAACUCUGGAAAACCUAUUAGGAAAGGGCUGGGCCAUCCUGCGUUUCCGCCAGGCCUGUCCAGGUGACUUUGAGUCAACCCACUGAGAGCUACUUGGCCACAGGCCAUCUCUGUGGGGCACCAUGUUUAUUUGAACCACUGACCCUGGCCCUAGAAGAAAAGAUGAAGACUUAGUGAUACCCCUUCUCCCCAUCUAUCCCCACCAGGGGCUUUUUGGAGUGUCUUUAAUUUACAGUCUGUUGGAAAGCACUCAGAAUCACUCUACCCUACACUCAAGGCAGGACCCUUCAUCAUCCAUCUGCGCCAGGCCAGCCUGCAGGCAUAUAUCCCUGAACUUCCCAGUGAGGUUCUGAAAGAACUGGGAAACUGAGGAAGAGAUUGGAAAUAGAGGAGGCCCCAGUGAUGGCUGUUUGUAUCAAUCAUCACAUUGAUUUGCUUAGGGAAGUCUUAUUCUAACAUUACACUGGUUGGUGAUCAGGCCUCCAGGCCCACUGGACUCCUAAGAUAAGGCUCCAGCUCCACAGAGUUGGAAGACAAAAUUGUCCGCUCCCUCCUUGCAUUCACCCAGCCCGGGGUCUUAUCUGGCAGAUGAUUGCUUGUUGCUCCAGCUUUCUCUGUCCUAACCUCUACAACCAUAGUCACCAAUGAUUUACUUAUUCUUAGACCCAGCCAUAACCUCACAUUUUCCAUGAAUCAGCUAGCCCCCUAUGGUUUCCUGCAAUGUUUCCUUUAUUUUCUAUUUCCUUAUGACAUUCUUUAAAUGAAUCUCCUUCUAUAAUUACCAUUUGACCCCU